rnacentral:ncRNA from 2 species
UUAGGAGUAGGAACCAACGCGUUAAGUGCCGCCGGAACGGAAUGUGAACGGUGGACGAAGACUCAGUCGCGGUGUUGGUUCCGCAUUCGCCUAG